UCGGUGGGGGAUUAGUGGCGAACGGGUGAGUAACACGUGGGCAAUCUGCCCUUCACUCUGGGACAAGCCCUGGAAACGGGGUCUAAUACCGGAUAACACCGGCUUCCGCAUGGGAGCUGGUUGAAAGCUCCGGCGGUGAAGGAUGAGCCCGCGGCCUAUCAGCUUGUUGGUGGGGUGAUGGCCUACCAAGGCGACGACGGGUAGCCGGCCUGAGAGGGCGACCGGCCACACUGGGACUGAGACACGGCCCAGACUCCUACGGGAGGCAGCAGUGGGGAAUAUUGCACAAUGGGCGAAAGCCUGAUGCAGCGACGCCGCGUGAGGGAUGACGGCCUUCGGGUUGUAAACCUCUUUCAGCAGGGAAGAAGCGAAAGUGACGGUACCUGCAGAAGAAGCGCCGGCUAACUACGUGCCAGCAGCCGCGGUAAUACGUAGGGCGCAAGCGUUGUCCGGAAUUAUUGGGCGUAAAGAGCUCGUAGGCGGCUUGUCGCGUCGGAUGUGAAAGCCCGGGGCUUAACCCCGGGUCUGCAUUCGAUACGGGCAGGCUAGAGUGUGGUAGGGGAGAUCGGAAUUCCUGGUGUAGCGGUGAAAUGCGCAGAUAUCAGGAGGAACACCGGUGGCGAAGGCGGAUCUCUGGGCCAUUACUGACGCUGAGGAGCGAAAGCGUGGGGAGCGAACAGGAUUAGAUACCCUGGUAGUCCACGCCGUAAACGUUGGGAACUAGGUGUUGGCGACAUUCCACGUCGUCGGUGCCGCAGCUAACGCAUUAAGUUCCCCGCCUGGGG
rnacentral:rRNA from 1 species